rfam:Perkinsus marinus ATCC 50983 gcontig_1104296125566, whole genome shotgun sequence.
GGUCUCGUGGCCUAAUGGAUAAGGCGUUGAUCUUCGGAACUAAAGAUUGUGGGUUCAAGUCCCACCGAGAUCG